rnacentral:rRNA from 1 species
UACGUAGGGUGCGGGCGUUGUCCGGAAUUAUUGGGCGUAAAGAGCUCGUAGGCGGUCUGUCGCGUCGGUCGUGAAAACCUGCAGCUUAACUGUGGGCGUGCGGUCGAUACGGGCAUGACUGGAGUUCGGCAGGGGAGACUGGAAUUCCUGGUGUAGCGGUGAAAUGCGCAGAUAUCAGGAGGAACACCGGUGGCGAAGGCGGGUCUCUGGGCCGAUACUGACGCUGAGGAGCGAAAGCGUGGGGAGCGAACAGG